CAUGGAAAAUAUCGUAAAACGUGAACGUUCCACGAAUUUUAACAAAAGCGAAAUAAGAUUAUUGACUGAAUUGGUGGCAAAACACCGUACUAUAAUUGAAAAUAAGCAGACAGACGCCGUAACCAAUAAAGAAAAGGAAGCAGCGUGGAUAAAAAUCAGUUCAUUAUUUAAUGCGGCUACGGGAUUUACAGCGAGGAGUACCAAGAGCCUGAAGCUUAAAUAUGAAGGCAUAAAAAAGGAAACCAAAAAAACAUUGGCCAAACAUCGGCAAGAGCUGUACAAAACUGGUGGCGGGCCCUCUUCAGCCCCAGAGGUUACAGAUAUACAGGAGAGGGUUAUCGCGAUAUGUUCGAAUAUCAAUGGGCUGGAUGCUCGAAAUGACAGCGACAAAAUUCCAGGUAUGAAGUCAAAUAUUUUAAAAUAUUUUUUGUUGAUGUUACCAUGGGAAUUGAUAUAGUGUUUAUGAAAACAAAAGUAAUAACGCACUACAUUUAUCUUUAGCAUCUUUCUAAGCAGUUUGUGUAUUGUUGUUUUUUUUUUUCAGAACCUUUAGAACUGGAAGAGACUGCUAAAGUUGACCCGCUAUCGUUGCCACUGCAAUCAUUAGAAAAUAAUUUAGUAAUUGUACCAUGUGAUGACGAUAUUCCGUGUACUUUAGAUCAAGAAGAGUUUUGCCCGCAACAGGAUUUAAAGGAGAAAGUUAACAGUGAAAUUGGAAAUGGUAUUUUAAUUUAUUGAAAAAAAAGUACAUAGUAUAAUAGUGUAAUAAAAUAUAAUAGUAAAUUAAUUUGUUUUCAGACAAGGCCUUUGAUGACUUUCAAUCUAUAGAGAUACAGGAUAUGGAAGUGGAUCAAACUGAAAAAGAGAAUAAGUGGUCUUCAUGGAAGCCAAAGGCUUUAAAAACUAAGAUUAGUCCAUACUUGAAAAGUAAUCAAAAAAUUACUAAAGUUGGAGUGACUGCAAAACUGGACCAUUUAACUGAAUCUCGCUUAGAGCUAGUGAAGCUCCAGAAGGAAAUUGCCAUAAAAGAGCAUGAG
rnacentral:misc_RNA from 1 species